ACAUAAUUCCACAACUAUGUGUUGUCUUUUUAUGUUUCAUGGCAUCCUUUUUGUUAGAGAAAGAGGUCUUGCCUCUGUGUGCAGAAUACAUUUUGUGCAAACCUAAUGGUGACCGAAAACCCCAGUGUAGUUGGGGGCUGCAAUUGUAAAAUUUCCUUCAUGGUGAAACAAUAAUUAGUUAUCUUGCUAGCCUCUUCCGACCCUCCACCACUGCUCAUACAAAUCGGUCCUUUAGAACUAGAUUGCAUCGUGAAAACAUGAUUUUUAUACCACAGAAGGCGAUAGAUUGAACUGAAGAUAAAAUGUAUUUCUUGUAUUGUGAUAUUAAUGUAAAGAUGAAUCGUACUGGUAUUAAAUUAUCGGGCACUUUUGUCUA